GUGCUUUGGCAACUAGAUGCAGUGCUAGGCUUCACUCUGCAAGGUGUUUAAAAAGAAAAACAGGUUUACCCGGGAUUUAUCAUGGAGUGGAAUAAGAGUGCCUCUCUCUCUAGAUGGGAACUUUGCUUCAUGGGACAUUACAACUGUAUGCCUUAAGGCAGAAAAACGCAUAAAGGUAGCUGGGAAAGUAAAUUGCCAGAAGCGAAGAGCACCCUCCCUUUCAAAAUCCUGUAAGUACUCCUUUCUCCUACAUCAAACCGAUCCUGUGCAGAACAGCACUGGUUGGUAUGAGAUUUCCUGGCUCUUGCAAACAUCUCUCAUUUCAACGCACACACGACAACGUGUGCGCCUGUGUUUACAUGUGGGCGCUCAAGAAUUACCAGUUGUUAACGAAACUGAAGAUUAUAGGGGGAAAUGCGAAAGGCUCAUCGCAAUUGCUGUGGUUGUUUUGGAAUUUUUUUCUUUUUUUUUUUUUUUUUCUUCCCCUAAUAAGAAUAUAAAAUCCCAUGGGGAAAAGAAUCCUAGAGAUUUGCGGCGAGGACUAAAGCAGAUUCAACUUGAGUAGAGAACUGUAGACCUCCACGGCCCUGGAGCAGCCCAAAAUAAAAGUUUCGCAUACUUUACGUUCGGGGUCUUUCUAGUUACUCUGCCACUAGCCUCCUACUGCUCUUUCGGAAGCCGAACGCAUCAUCAUCGCAGAUUCCUCGCACACAAUCAAUACAUUUUGCAUAACACGACUCUCUCUCGAACGCUCUCUCUCGCUCUGUUUCUCUAUUUUUGUUUGCCUCCCGUAGAUGGACGGGGUUUCUUACAAGCGGCUUUUAUUUUGAGAGAUUAGCGCCGGCGAUAUAGGGUCUCAAAAGCAAGCCGUGCGCGGUAGCUGGUCCUCAGGUCAUUUCGCUGGAGCCGACCACAGCAACCUCCCAGGCAUGCAGUUCGGUUUCAGACAGACACAGCUUGCCUCUCUCCGGUCUCUCCUCUUGCACCCCCCCACCUCACCCCCCUUUCUAGUCCUCUUACAGCAGUGCUUUAAUAAAGUCACAUAAGUGAUUGAAAUUAACAUAAAUCAUUAUUAGUUAUUAGGAUUUGCUCUAAAUUACUCUGUGAAUAUAACACCAAACCCCAUCUGCCACUCCUGCUCUAGCAGCAAUAGAUUGCAGAUAAAAUAAAUGUCCUUACCCCAUU